ACUACGGGAGGCAGCAGUAGGGAAUAUUGCUCAAUGGGGGAAACCCUGAAGCAGCAACGCCGCGUGGAGGAUGAAGGUUUUAGGAUUGUAAACUCCUUUUGUGAGAGAAGAUAAUGACGGUAUCUCACGAAUAAGCACCGGCUAACUCCGUGCCAACAGCCGCGGUAAUACGGGGGGUGCAAGCGUUACUCGGAAUCACUGGGCGAAAAGAGUGCGCAGGCGGGCUUGUAAGUCAGAUGUGAAAUCCUGUAGCUUAACUACAGAACUGCAUUUGAAACUGUUAUUCUAGAGUAUGGGAGAGGUAGGUGGAAUUCUUGGUGGAGGGGUAAAAUCCGUAGAGAUCAAGAGGAAUACUCAUUGCGAAGGCGACCUGCUAGAACAUAACUGACGCUGAUGCGCGAAAGCGUGGGGAGCAAACAGGAUUAGAUACCCUUGUAGUC
rnacentral:rRNA from 1 species